rnacentral:rRNA from 1 species
UACGUAGGGGGCGAGCGUUGUCCGGAUUCAUUGGGCGUAAAGCGCGCGCAGGCGGUGGCGUGAGCCCGGCGUGAAAGCCCCCAGCUCAACUGGGGGAGGCCGUCGGAGACCGCGGCACUUGAGGCCGGUAGGGGAGAGCGGAAUUCCCGGUGUAGUGGUGGAAUGCGUAGAUAUCGAGAGGAACACCUGCGGCGAAGGCGGGUAGCUGGGCCGACACUGACGCUGAGGCGCGAAAGCCAGGGGAGCGAACGGG